CGCCAGAUAGCUCAGUUGGUUAGAGCACAUGAAUAGAAAAUCAAGGGGGCCCGGGUUUGAAUCCCGGUCUGGUUC
rnacentral:tRNA from 1 species